GACGAACGCUGGCGGCGUGCUUAACACAUGCAAGUCGAGGGGCAGCAUGAGUAGCAAUACUUGAUGGCGACCGGCAAACGGGUGCGGAACACGUACACAACCUUCCUUUCAGCGGGGAAUAGCCCAGAGAAAUUUGGAUUAAUACCCCAUAGAAUAUUGAAGAGGCAUCUCUUUAUUAUUAAAGAUUUAUCACUGAAAGAUGGGUGUGCGGCUGAUUAGAUAGUUGGCGGGGUAACGGCCCACCAAGUCUACGAUCAGUAGCUGAUGUGAGAGCAUGAUCAGCCACACGGGCACUGAGACACGGGCCCGACUCCUACGGGAGGCAGCAGUAAGGAAUAUUGGUCAAUGGACGAAAGUCUGAACCAGCCAUGCCGCGUGAAGGAUGAAGGUCCUCUGGAUUGUAAACUUCUUUUAUAUGGGACGAAAAAAGGUCAUUCUUGAUCACUUGACGGUACCAUUUGAAUAAGCACCGGCUAACUCCGUGCCAGCAGCCGCCGUAACAC
rnacentral:rRNA from 1 species